UACGGGUGGUGCAAGCGUUAUUCGGAAUCAUUGGGCGUAAAGGGCGUGUAGACGGUACGCUAAGUCUGUUGUUAAAUUCCUCAGCUUAACUGAGGUUCUGCAAUGGAAACUGGCGUGCUAGAGGGUGAGAGAGAGAAGUGGAAUUCUCGGAGUAGCGGUAAAAUGCGUAGAUCUCGAGAGGAACACCAAUGGCGAAGGCAGCUUCUUGGCUCAUUCCUGACGUUGAGGCGCGAAAGCGUGGGGAGCAAACAGG
rnacentral:rRNA from 1 species